UGAACGCUAGCGGCAGGCUUAACACAUGCAAGUCGAGGGGUAUAGUAGCAAUACUAGAGACCGGCGCACGGGUGCGUAACGCGUAUGCAAUCUACCUUUUGCAGGGGAAUAGCCCAGAGAAAUUUGGAUUAAUACCUCAUAGUAUGUGAGAAUCGCAUGGUUUUCACAUUAAAGUUCCAACGGUAAAAGAUGAGCAUGCGUCCCAUUAGCUAGAUGGUAAGGUAACGGCUUACCAUGGCGACGAUGGGUAGGGGGUCCUGAGAGGGAGAUCCCCCACACUGGUACUGAGACACGGACCAGACUCCUACGGGAGGCAGCAGUGAGGAAUAUUGGACAAUGGGCGCAAGCCUGAUCCAGCCAUGCCGCGUGCAGGAUGACGGUCCUAUGGAUUGUAAACUGCUUUUGUACAGGAAGAAACACUCCCUCGUGAGGGAGCUUGACGGUACUGUAAGAAUAAGGAUCGGCUAACUCCGUG
rnacentral:rRNA from 1 species